rnacentral:rRNA from 1 species
ACAUGCCUAUAGCAUAGAGUUAAUGCAUCAGAUUCCAUUAGAACUUUACAGUUAAGCACGUUCAGGAUAGAGUAGUACUUAGAUGGGUGACAUCCUGAGAAUUUCUAAUGUUUUACAUGCC